GUACGGGAGGCAGCAGUGGGGAAUAUUGGACAAUGGGCGGAAGCCUGAUCCAGCAAUACCGCGUGUGUGAAGAAGGCCUGAGGGUUGUAAAGCACUUUCAAUGGGAAGGAAUACCUGCCGGCAAAUACCCGGCAGACUGACAUUACCCAUACAAGAAGCACCGGCUAACUCCGUGCCAGCAGCCGCGGUAAUACAGAGGGUGCAAGCGUUAAUCGGAAUUACUGGGCGUAAAGCGUGCGUAGGCGGCCUUUUAAGUCAGAUGUGAAAGCCCUGGGCUCAACCUGGGAACUGCAUUUGAUACUGGGGGGCUAGAGUUUAAGAGAGGGGAGUGGAAUUUCAGGUGUAGCGGUGAAAUGCGUAGAGAUCUGAAGGAACACCAGUGGCGAAGGCGACUCCCUGGCUUAAAACUGACGCUGAGGUACGAAAGCGUGGGUAGCAAACAGGAUUAGAUACCCCGGUAGUCCU
rnacentral:rRNA from 1 species